GAUCCUGGCUCAGGAUGAACGCUAGCGGCAGGCUUAACACAUGCAAGUCGAGGGGCAGCGGGAGGAGUGCUUGCACUUCUUGCCGGCGACCGGCGUACGGGUGAGUAACACGUAUGCAACCUGCCUCCGUCAGGGGGACAACCCGGCGAAAGCCGGGCUAAUCCCGCGUAUAUUCCGUGAGGGCAUCCUUACGGAAGGAAAGGCUUCGGCCGGACGGGGAUGGGCAUGCGGCGCAUUAGGUAGUCGGGGGUGUAACGG
rnacentral:rRNA from 1 species